rnacentral:rRNA from 1 species
GAUGAACGCUGGCGGCGUGCCUAAUACAUGCAAGUCGAGCGAACAGACGAGGAGCUUGCUCCUCUGACGUUAGCGGCGGACGGGUGAGUAACACGUGGAUAACCUACCUAUAAGACUGGGAUAACUUCGGGAAACCGGAGCUACUACCGGAUAAUAUAUUGAACCGCAUGGUUCAAUAGUGAAAGACGGUUUUGCUGUCACUUAUAGAUGGAUCCGCGCCGCAUUAGCUAGUUGGUAAGGUAACGGCUUACCAAGGCAACGAUGCGUAGCCGACCUGAGAGGGGGAUCGGCCACACUGGACCUGAGACACGGUCCAGACUCCUACGGGAGGCAGCAGUAGGGAAUCUUCCGCAAUGGGCGAAAGCCUGACGGAGCAACGCCGCGUGAGGGAUGAAGGUCUUCGGAUCGUAAAACUCUGUUAUUAGGGAAGAACAAAUGUGUAAGUAACUAUGCACGUCUUGACGGUACCUAAUCAGAAAGCCACGCCUAACUACGU